AGAGUUUGAUCCUGGCUCAGGAUGAACGCUAGCUACAGGCUUAACACAUGCAAGUCGAGGGGCAGCAUUUUAGUUUGCUUGCAAACUGAAGAUGGCGACCGGCGCACGGGUGAGUAACACGUAUCCAACCUGCCGAUAACUCCGGGAUAGCCUUUCGAAAGAAAGAUUAAUACCGGAUAGCAUACGAAUAUCGCAUGAUAUUUUUAUUAAAGAAUUUCGGUCAUCGAUGGGGAUGCGUUCCAUUAGGUUGUUGGCGGGGUAACGGCCCACCAAGCCUUCGAUGGAUAGGGGUUCUGAGAGGAAGGUCCCCCACAUUGGAACUGAGACACGGUCCAAACUCCUACGGGAGGCAGCAGUGAGGAAUAUUGGUCAAUGGACGAGAGUCUGAACCAGCCAAGUAGCGUGAAGGAUGACUGCCCUAUGGGUUGUAAACUUCUUUUAUACGGGAAUAAAGUGAGGCACGUGUGCCUUUUUGUAUGUACCGUAUGAAUAAGGAUCGGCUAACUCCGUGCCAGCAGCCGCGGUAAUACGGAGGAUCCGAGCGUUAUCCGGAUUUAUUGGGUUUAAAGGGAGCGUAGGCGGACGCUUAAGUCAGUUGUGAAAGUUUGCGGCUCAACCGUAAAAUUGCAGUUGAUACUGGGUGUCUUGAGUACAGUAGAGGCAGGCGGAAUUCGUGGUGUAGCGGUGAAAUGCUUAGAUAUCACGAAGAACUCCGAUUGCGAAGGCAGCUUGCUGGACUGUAACUGACGCUGAUGCUCGAAAGUGUGGGUAUCAAACAGGAUUAGAUACCCUGGUAGUCCACACAGUAAACGAUGAAUACUCGCUGUUUGCGAUAUACAGUAAGCGGCCAAGCGAGAGCGUUAAGUAUUCCACCUGGGGAGUACGCCGGCAACGGUGAAACUCAAAGGAAUUGACGGGGGCCCGCACAAGCGGAGGAACAUGUGGUUUAAUUCGAUGAUACGCGAGGAACCUUACCCGGGCUUGAAUUGCAACUGAAUGAUGUGGAGACAUGUCAGCCGCAAGGCAGUUGUGAAGGUGCUGCAUGGUUGUCGUCAGCUCGUGCCGUGAGGUGUCGGCUUAAGUGCCAUAACGAGCGCAACCCUUAUCGAUAGUUACCAUCAGGUUAUGCUGGGGACUCUGUCGAGACUGCCGUCGUAAGAUGUGAGGAAGGUGGGGAUGACGUCAAAUCAGCACGGCCCUUACGUCCGGGGCUACACACGUGUUACAAUGGGGGGUACAGAAGGCAGCUACACGGCGACGUGAUGCUAAUCCCGAAAGCCUCUCUCAGUUCGGAUUGGAGUCUGCAACCCGACUCCAUGAAGCUGGAUUCGCUAGUAAUCGCGCAUCAGCCACGGCGCGGUGAAUACGUUCCCGGGCCUUGUACACACCGCCCGUCA
rnacentral:rRNA from 1 species